AUCACUAUGACAACAACAAUACUACUUUAACAGAUAAUAAUCACUAUGACAACAAUACUACUAUAACAGAUAAUAAUCACUAUGACAACAACGAUACUACUGUAACAGAUAAUAAUCACUAUGACAAUAACAAUACUACUAUGACCUUCUGUUAAUAAUCACUAUGACAACAACAAUACUACUGUAACAGUUAAUAAUCACUAUGACAACAACAAUACUACUGUAACAGUUAAUAAUCACUAUGACAACAACAAUACUACUGUAACAGACUAACCAUAAUCAUGUCAUCAAGUAUCAAGGGUAUAGGUGAGAGACAUUCUUUACAUAUGUGUGUGUGUGUGUGUGUGUGUGUGUGUGUGUGUGUGUGUGUGUGUGUGUGUGUGUGUGUGUGUGUGUGUGUGUGUGUGUGUGUGUGUGUGUGUGUGUGUGUUUGUUUUGGCAGCUGGUGUUGAUCUGGUAGCUGUUGAAAAUUGAGUAGAACCCAUCAGAUGUCCUGAUUAAUUGAGAGGUGCGGAGAGACGACGGACAGACAGACGCUCCCUUAACGGGAUUCCACAGCUUCAUCAAUAGGUUUGAUUGGAAAGUGAAGAGUACUUGGGCUGAUUUAUAGCUCAUACGGAGGCUAGUUUGCUAGCGGUGAUAAUCAAAGUGAUCAGGGCAUUCAGAAAGUGAUCAACUAGGUAGAGUUGGGUGGAAGACAGUUGAUAUGUUGCUGUUAUAUUUUUUAUGUCAAAAUGAUACAUUUGUAUAUUUCUAUGGUGUUUUAUUUAAUAUGCUGUAGUUAUAUUACUUAUAUUGAGAAGUUUUGAUAUGUUGUCUAGUUGUAUUACAAAUAUUGAGGAAGAGAGAGACAGGGAGAGAGAAAGGAGAGAGAGUAAGGAAGAGAGAGACAGGGAGAGAGAAAGGAGAGAGAGGAGAGAGAAAGGAGAGAGAGUAAGGAAGAGAGAGACAGGGAGAGAGAAAGGAGAGAGAGUAAGGAAGAGAGAGACAGGGAGAGAGAAAGGAGAGAGAGUAAGGAAGAGAGAGAGGAAGA
ensembl:lncRNA